AUUGAACGCUGGCGGCAGGCCUAACACAUGCAAGUCGAACGAGUGGCGGACGGGUGAGUAAUGUCUGGGAAACUGCCCGAUGGAGGGGGAUAACUACUGGAAACGGUAGCUAAUACCGCAUACCAUCGGAUGUGCCCAGAUGGGAUGAGCUAGUAGGUGGGGUAACGGCUCACCUAGGCGACGAGCCCUAGCUGGCCUGAGAGGAUGACCGGCCACACUGGAACUGAGACACGGUCCAGACACCUACGGUAGGCAGCAGUGGGGAAUAUUGCACAAUGGGCGCAAGCCUGAUGCAGCCAUGCCGCGUGCAUGAAGAGGGCCUGCGUGUUGUAAAGUACUUUCAGCGAGGAGGCGUUACUCGCAGAGAAAGCACCGGCUAACUCCGUGCCAGCAGCCGCGGUAAUAC
rnacentral:rRNA from 1 species